rnacentral:rRNA from 1 species
AGACGACGCUGGCGGCGUGCCUAACACAUGCAAGUCGAACGGGGGAACAUGAAGUAUUUCGGUACGGAAUGCGCCCCUAGUGGCGAACGGGUGAGUAACACGUGGGCAACCUGCCCCAGACUGGGGGAUAACAUUGUGAAAACAGUGCUAAUACCGCAUGACAGGGUUCCGGGCAUCCGGGACCCUUGAAAAGGAGAAAUCCGGUCAGGGAUGGGCCCGCGUCCAAUUAGCUAGUUGGCGGGGUAACGGCCCACCAAGGCGACGAUUGGUAGCCGAACUGAGAGGUUGAUCGGCCACAUUGGGACUGAGACACGGCCCAGACUCCUACGGGAGGCAGCAGUGGGGAAUAUUGGGCAAUGGGCGAAAGCCUGACCCAGCGACGCCGCGUGAAGGAUGAAGGUCUUCGGAUUGUAAACUUCUUUGAUCAGGGAAGAAAGAAAUGACGGUACCUGAAAAACAAGCCACGGCUAACUACGUG